UUUGUGCACUGAGUUGUGUGUCAAAAACAGGUGAUGGACUUCCGGAUCGUGCUUAGGGCUUUGUCCAAACUCCCCGGUGAAGGCACUUGAUCUUGCUUUUGGGAAAGGAGGGAUGUAGCAGCACGACCACUUCACUUUUAAAUAAAUGUACCACUGUUUAGUAAUGAUGUUAAACAGGGGUUCAAGUCCAGGGGAUUAAUAUGUUUUAGGCUUCAUGGUAGUCGAAUUUGUUGGGUUGGCCGGGUUCCCUCUCUUUCUAUUUGGUCAUGAAUGUUUAUUACUAUCUCCGCAUCCUGUUUAUGUUUCAUGGAUUGUCUUUCCUUUACAUUAUGUCUAAACUUUAUGUCCCUCUCGUUUUACUACUUACAAGAGAGGUGCUGCCAGAUUUUGUUUUA